CGACAUUGACAACGAGCUGUUGGACUAUGAAGAGGAUGAGGAGCCUCAGGUUGCCCCAGAGACCGCCACAUCUGCAGGCAAGGAGGAGGUAAAGGGCUCUUAGUCUCCAUCCACAGCUCCGGCUUCCGAGACUUCCUGCUCAAACCAGAGCUGCUCCGCGCCAUUGUUGACUGUGGCUUUGAACAUCCCUCUGAAGUCCAACAUGAGUGCAUCCCACAGGCCAUCCUGGGCAUGGACAUCCUGUGCCAGGCCAAGUCUGGUAUGGGCAAGACGGCUGUGCUUGUACUGGCCACCCUGCAGCAGAUUGAGCCUGUGGACGGGCAGGUGAAUGGUUGAAUAAUGACAUUGUGGAAGCAGCAACUGAAUUGCCAGGCUUUCCCGGUACCAGCAGUUCAAGGACUUCCGAAGGCGGAUCCUGGUGGCCACCAACCAGUUUGGCCGAGGGAUGGAACAUUGAGCCCGUCAACAUCGUCUUCAACUACGACAUGCCCGAGGAUUCCGACACCUACCUGCACAGAGUGGGCCUUGCAGGCAGGUUCGGGACGAAAUUCAUUAUAUCGGUCCAUGGUGUUAAGUUCAUGUUUUUAAGUAUCCCAAUAUUUAUGUUAUUAAGGGG